CGAUAACAACAGGCGGCGACAUCUGUCAUCCCAUUGAUCCCCAGGGUUGAUUCGGCUGAUCUGGCUGGCUAGGCGGGUGUCCCCUGCCUCCCUCACCGCUCCAUGUGUGUCCCUCCCGAAGCUGCGCGCUCGGUUGAAGAGCCUUCCCCGAAUAGAGACGGACCGGUCUUCAGUCGAGGGUAUAGGAGUAGCUGCGCUCCCCUGCUAGAACCUCCAAACAAGCUCUCAAGAAAGGAGGCAGAAGAGGGACCCACCUCUUCGAAAAAGA
rnacentral:snRNA from 1 species